AGCGUUAUCAUCAGUUAUCAACAAAAUAGAGGUAUCUUUCAUUUUUCCGAAGUAGUGAUGGGUAGUGAUGCCGAAAAUUCCGCCGGAAAGUUCAGUGCUCAGCUCUUGAAAUGAACAUCUUUUCUCCGCUGUACCGUUGUAACAUUUGAUACAAUUCUUUGAAUACGUCCUCUUUGCCUGUAUCACAAUUCCAAUGCAAAAUUGCGUGAAGUGUUGAUGUUCUCAUCCACCCGUCUAUAGUUUCUAUUCUUGGAUUUCGUAAAAUAGCAGUUUCUUGAUUUCUUACUUAUCCCUAUUACGCCUUUCUUUUUUAAGCCGUUUAGCAACUAGAGUGACUCGUUCUGUCUUUCUUUAAAACAUUGUGUAAAGAUAUAUUUUGAGGUUAAGGCUUAUCAGACUGCAGGUUAGCACAUGUUUUAUUUACUCACCCAUCAGAUGCAACAGGUUCAAUUCAGUCACGUUUGCGGAUUUUGAUGAUCCCCACCUUGAGCACACUUAUUUCAAGAAUACUUCUAAAUACCUUCAAUCGCACCAUGUAUCUGCAAGGACUUAUCUUUACUGCAGACACUCCGAUCACCAGUACCUCGUCAAACCUCGUAUCCUGCCCUCCAGAUGUCGCGCCUACAUCUUAUCUUCUCUUGCCAAGCGUCGGAGAAACAAAGGAAGAAAAUGAGAUAAGGAAAAAGCUAUCCUUGGUACAAACGUAUGCGGAGAGGUUGAAGCCGUUACUACAGUCUGAUGUCGCCAUCCUCAAUGAAAAUAACGCACCGUAUCUGUCGGAAAUAGAUCAGAUCAAAGUCUACGAAUUUUUCGUGAAUUUGCAAACAAAAGAUUCUUCCUCGUCUCCUGUAGAGAAGAUAACUUGGUUUCUUAUCACACCUUGGUCCUCCAAGCAAUUCUUUGAACGGUAUAUUUGGCCUAUCAAGUAUAUACCUGACUGCGUUGGGAAUCGUGAGUUUCAGUACCAGAUCAAACGUGCGGUUGAUGACAGCAACUUGCAUUUGCUGGAGGGUCUUUUAAGCCGCAAACCCGACAUUUCUUGCAGUGAUAGCAGGGGCGUCAGUUUUCCUUUUUUGCACCUGGCUGCCAAGAGAUGCUGCCUUGUGCUUGUCAGAGCAUUGCUGGACCACGGAGCGAACGUUCAUAGCAAGAUCUAUACCACACAAUUCUCCAGUCACGGAGAGACCCCUCUGCAUCUGCUGUGA
rnacentral:lncRNA from 1 species